ensembl:lincRNA
GGGUGCCCGUGGGGUCCUCCCUUCAUGGCAGCCACACUCCUGACGAUGCCCACGGCUCCUACUGGAUUCAUGUACAGGCCAUGUGGACAUCCAAGACGGGUCUGAGAGUCUAUGCCAAUGGGACCCUGAGCACCUGUGACACAAGAGGGAAAGCGUCUCAUGCCUAUGGGGAUCCUGAUGUCAAUCUUGUGAUGGGAACUGAGCAGGACCGGACCCAGCAUUAUGAUAACAGAGCUUUGGAUGAGUUCAACAUCCAGGGAUGGCCCUACCUCUGGAUGAGGUUACCAUGUACUUCACAGCUGCUGCUGGAUUGCUGA